rnacentral:rRNA from 1 species
GACGAACGCUGGCGGCGUGCCUAAUACAUGCAAGUAGAACGCUGAAGGAGGAGCUUGCUUCUCUGGAUGAGUUGCGAACGGGUGAGUAACGCGUAGGUAACCUGCCUGGUAGCGGGGGAUAACUAUUGGAAACGAUAGCUAAUACCGCAUAAUAUUGACUAUUGCAUGAUAGUUGAUUAAAAGGUGCAAUUGCACCACUACCAGAUGGACCUGCGUUGUAUUAGCUAGUUGGUGGGGUAACGGCUCACCAAGGCGACGAUACAUAGCCGACCUGAGAGGGUGAUCGGCCACACUGGGACUGAGACACGGCCCAGACUCCUACGGGAGGCAGCAGUAGGGAAUCUUCGGCAAUGGACGGAAGUCUGACCGAGCAACGCCGCGUGAGUGAAGAAGGUUUUCGGAUCGUAAAGCUCUGUUGUAAGAGAAGAACGAGUGUGAGAGUGGAAAGUUCACACUGUGACGUAUCUACCA